rnacentral:rRNA from 1 species
CCUACGGGGUGCAGCAGUGGGGAAUAUUGCACAAUGGGGGAAACCCUGAUGCAGCGACGCCGCGUGAGUGAAGAAGUCUUUCGGUAUGUACAGCUCUAUCAGCAGGGAAGAAAAUGACGGUACCUGAUUAAGAAGCCCCGGCUAACUACGUGCCAGCAGCCGCGGUCAUACGUAGGGGGCAAGCGUUAUCCGGAUUUACUGGGUGUAAAGGGCGCGUAGACGGCAGCACAAGUCUGGAGUGAAAUGCCGGGGCUUAACCCCGGAACUGCUUUGGAUAAUGUGCAGCUAGAGUGCAGGAGAGGUAAGUGGAAUUCCUAGUGUAGCGGUGAAAUGCGUAGAUAUUAGGAGGAACACCAGUGGCGAAGGCGGCUUACUGGACUGUAACUGACGUUGAGGCUCGAAAGCGUGGGGAGCAAACAGGAUUAGAUACCCCAGUAGUC